ACAAGCGGUGGAGCAUGUGGUUUAAUUCGAAGCAACGCGAAGAACCUUACCAAAUCUUGACAUCCUUUGACAACUCUAGAGAUAGAGCUUUCCCCUUCGGGGGACAAAGUGACAGGUGGUGCAUGGUUGUCGUCAGCUCGUGUCGUGAGAUGUUGGGUUAAGUCCCGCAACGAGCGCAACCCUUAAGCUUAGUUGCCAUCAUUAAGUUGGGCACUC
rnacentral:rRNA from 1 species